GCCUUUGUCGAUCGUGGCGAUCACCCACUUCAGAUUCGGUCGAUACGUCUUUCCCGUGGGAAGAGUGGGUUCGAUUCCCACCGAGGGCA